rnacentral:rRNA from 1 species
GACGAACGCUGGCGGCGUGCCUAAUACAUGCAAGUCGAACGGUCUUUUCUAUGGAAGCUUGCUUCCACUGAGAAGAUAGUGGCGAACGGGUGAGUAACACGUGGGUAACCUGCCCAUAAGAGGGGGAUAACAUCCGGAAACGGGUGCUAAUACCGCAUAGGUUUCUUGGUCGCAUGAUCGAGAAAGGAAAGACGGCCUUUGUGCUGUCGCUUAUAGAUGGACCCGCGGCGUAUUAGUUAGUUGGUGAGGUAACGGCUCACCAAGACGAUGAUACGUAGCCGACCUGAGAGGGUGAUCGGCCACAUUGGGACUGAGACACGGCCCAAACUCCUACGGGAGGCAGCAGUAGGGAAUCUUCCGCAAUGGACGAAAGUCUGACGGAGCAACGCCGCGUGAGUGAAGAAGGUUUUCGGAUCGUAAAACUCUGUUGUCAGAGAAGAACAAGUCGGAGAGUAACUGCUCCGGCCUUGACGGUAUCUGACCAGAAAGCCACGGCUAACUACGUGCCAGCCGCCGCGGUAAAAC